rnacentral:rRNA from 1 species
CCAUGCGAGUUGAGAGGGUUCGGCCCUCGGCAGACGGCUCAGUAACACGUGGAUAAUCUGCCCUUAGGUGGAGGAUAACCUCGGGAAACUGAGAAUAAUACUCCAUAGAUCUGGGAUGCUGGAAUGCAUCUAGGUUGAAAGUUCCGGCGCCUAAGGAUGAGUCUGCGGACUAUCAGGCUGUAGUCAGGGUAAAGACCUGACUAACCUACGACGGAUACGGGUUGUGAGAGCAAUAACCCGGAGACGAUAUCUGAGACACGAUAUCGGGCCCUACGGGGCGCAGCAGGCGCGAAACCUUCACACUGUGCGAAAGCGCGAUGAGGGGAUCCCAAGUGCUUGCACGUAAGUGUAAGCUGUUUCUGUGUCUAAAAAGCAUAGAGAGUAAGGGCUGGGUAAGACGGGUGCCAGCCGCCGCGGUAAUACCUGCAGCUCAAGUGGUGACCGCUAUUAUUGGGCCUAAAACGUCCGUAGCCGGUUUAGUAAAUGCCUGGGUAAAUCGUGUAGCUUAACUAUACGAAUUCCGGGUAGACUGCUAAACUUGAGACCGGGAGAGGCUAGAGGUACUUCUGGGGUAGAGGUGAAAUUCUGUAAUCCUAGGGGGACCACCAGUGGCGAAGGCGUCUAGCUAGAACGGGUCUGACGGUGAGGGACGAAGCCCUGGGGCGCAAACCGGAUUAGAUACCCGGGUAGUCCAGGGUGUAAACGCUGCUUGCUUGAUGUUAGUCGGGCUCUGAGCCCGAUUAGUGUCGGAGAGAAGUUGUUAAGCAAGCUGCC